AUCGCUUCUCGGCCUUUUGGCUAAGAUCAAGUGUAGUACAAAAGUCAAGUUUCCUAUUUCGUUACUUGUGGUUUGUUCCUCGUGUCAUUGCAAGCCAAUUACAUUAUUUUUAUACACAAAUUGCUGGAAGACUUCAGCAGGUCAAGCAGCAUCUAUGGAAGAGGAAUAGACAAUCCAUGUUUUGGGCCAAGACCCUUC